GCUACCUGCUCAGGAAGGAAGUGCGAUGGUUCAUUUUAGGUGUCAACUUGACUGAAUUCAGGAAUACCUAGCAACUUAGUAAAGCAUGAUUUUGGGGUGUGUUUGUGGGGGUGUUAUCAGAGGAGAUUAGAUAUGAGUCUGAAGGAUUAGAUGGAGAAGAUCUGCCCUCAAUGUUGGCAUGAACCAUCCAAUCUACUGGGGGCUGGGAGAAAACAAAAAUAGAGAAAAAGUGAGUCUGUUAAUUUUGCUGCUGGGGCUGGGAUAACUUCUUCCUCUCCUAUUCUAGGACAAUAACUCCGGGCUCCCCAGCCUUUGGACUCCAGUGCUUAACAAGAAGGCCCCUUCAGGAUUCUCAGACCUUUGGUUUUGGACUGAGAAAUACACCAUUGGCUUUCCUGGUUCUGAGGCUUUUGGUCUUGGACUGAGCCACGCCGUCAGCAUCCCAGGGUUUGCAGCUUGCAGAUCGCCUGUCAUGGGACUUCUCAGCCUCCGUAAUCACGUGUUGCCGUAAGUCUACUGAGCUCUCUGGGUGUCUAACCUUGCCUUCUUGUCAUCAGCUAUUAAAACUACUAAAACAGAAGAAUGCUUAACCACUACAGCUGUUAAAACAUUAGUACGUGCUUUGCACUUCGGGUUUCAGGAUCGAGAACAUCCUGGAAAUAAGAGCGGAAGCAGAAAAGCCAGCAGAGCAGGCCAUCACAAUAGACGUGGCGUGAGAUGACUAGAGAGCGAGCCUGAAGAGUCAUCUGCAGCCCUGCCAGACUGCUGUAAGAAUGACAGCUUUGGCUCGCCACUGGGAGCAGGAUAACAUGAGAGGUGAUGCAAUCAGUCUGCAGGGGAAAUUGGAACUCAGUUGUCCAGGAAGACUUGGACUGAGGACA
rnacentral:lncRNA from 1 species